rnacentral:rRNA from 1 species
UACGUAGGGCGCAAGCGUUGUCCGGAAUUAUUGGGCGUAAAGAGCUCGUAGGCGGUUUGUCACGUCUGCUGUGAAAUCCCGAGGCUCAACCUCGGGCCUGCAGUGGGUACGGGCAGACUAGAGUGCGGUAGGGGAGACUGGAAUUCCUGGUGUAACGGUGAAAUGUGUAGAUAUCAGGAGGAACACCAAUGGCGAAGGCAGGUCUCUGGGCCGUAACUGACGCUGAGGAGCGAAAGCGUGGGGAGCGAAC